AAGCGGUGGAGCAUGUGGUUUAAUUCGAAGCAACGCGAAGAACCUUACCAGGUCUUGACAUCCUCUGACUCCUCUAGAGAUAGAGAAUUCCCUUUCGGGGGACAGAGUGACGGUGGUGCAUGGUUGUCGUCAGCUCGUGUCGUGAGAUGUGGGGUUAAGUCCCGCAACGAGCGCAACCCUUAGUCUUAGUUGCCAGCAUAAUGUGGGGGCACUCUAAGGUGACUGCCGGUGACAAACCGGAGGAAGGUGGGGAUGACGUCAAAUCAUCAUGCCCCUUAUGACCUGGGCUACACACGUGCUACAAUGGAUGGUACAAAGGGCUGCAAGACCGCGAGGUCAAGCCAAUCCCAUAAAACCAUUCUCAGUUCGGAUUGUAGGCUGCAACUCGCCUACAUGAAGCU
rnacentral:rRNA from 2 species